AGCAUGUCAAAUAGGAUUUGCCCUUGCUAACGCUCGCGCGCGUCAAGAAGACGAGCAUUCAGGAAUGGCCCGGCGCAUUGCCUGGCGUCACAGCGAGCCAGUACUAAAAUUCACAAAAAACCACCCUGUAUCAAGGAGUCAAACUACCACGUAACACAUGUGGUAAGCAAUCCAAACUAUUCAAAAAAAAAAAUCAAGGAGUCGAACUGUAUAGCGAAGUUGCAGCAGUUUGACGCACGCGGGCGUCAAAUAGGGUUCGCCCUGUAUCGGUGCUGUCAAAAAAAGAGGUGGUACUAGAGUAUAUCGAAGUCCCCGUCUCGGGCCUUUCGGUUAUCCCCGGCUCACAAGACGCCGUGGCCGGAUUGCCAUAUACUCUCCCCACCCCACCAUAGUCGUCGAUCAGGUCCUAUUCGUGCUUGAUUUGAUUUGGGUUCUGCUAGACAGACGCCAUAUCCCCGGCUCACAAGUCUCCUAUACAUAAAUCCAGUGGGGAGAGAAGGCUCUUCUUAACCGUACAAGAUUAGGGUUAAGAAAGGCUCUGGAUUCCUCUUCGGAAUAGAACCCGAUCUCGCCGCCGUCCCAACAUAAAUCCAGUCUUCCUGUAGACUCUCAGUUUGCGGUUUAUAUAUCUGUAGUACAGCCAAUGUCUCCUCUUCUGUUUUGUAGUUCGUUAUUAUAUAUCCGACCCCUUCCCUUGCGACUAAAUUGCAGCGAUGGGAUCCGCCGUCUCUUCCGCCAUAGCCGACGCAGCAGUGGAGUUUUUACACCUUGACGGGCAGAUCGUGGACGAGGACGAUCCCCACGGGCUGCCCCUCGACCAGCAACAACGCCAUGUCCAACGCUUCAUGGACAGGUUGGAGCGCAAGCGUCGCCGCAACCUUGUCUUGUACGGCCCCCGCUCAGAAGUGUGCUGCUCCCUCCUAUACAUCAUCCCACGCAGAUUGGCUUCAUCCGCCAGCUAGCUGUUCCAUUAUUGAUAGGAGCGCAACAAAGCCAUCGUUCUCCCACAUGUCCAGAUCGCCCUUCGCCACUACAAUUCGAACAACCCGGGUGCAGAGUUCAGGGUGCAGAGCUUGUCAGUCCUAUGUCGUGCAACCGUGUCGGAUUCAGGGACGAGAUUUGGUUUCACUUCAACUUUUUAGCUCGCCGGUGCCUCAAAAAGCACAACUUCUGCGCUCGCGGUAGGGUUGCUCCAGAACCAGAUACCUCUGACCAGUAUUUCUUCGCUGAGCUACACUAUGACCGCUUCGGCAAACCAGUUGUCGAAACGUGCACUAUAUUGGAAAAACCGAUUUGCCAAUUUAAAGGAAAGUGUGCCUUUUGCAAGGGCUCAGUUGGGAUUUGGCACCCUAGGAACGGAGGAUUUUUGUGUGGAAGGGAGGGACAGAAAAAGGAGUAUUGUCAGAUGUUUAUGUUGAGUGAAAGGCCCAAGAAAGGACCAGAGGAGGAACCUUCUUCAGUUCCAAGGCUAUUUGAUGAGUUGCCACUAGCUGCCUAGCUAGCCGUGGGUUUGGAUUCAUAGAUUAGCUAAUGUACAACAAGCUGGCACUGUUUGCUUGUAUAUCAAAAUGUAUUAGUUAGAGAAUACAUUAAAUGUGAAUAAUUGACUGUAUAAAGA